UUGGCAAAGAGGACAAUUCAACCUGACAGGUAUACAUCAGCUUACGCAAUGCAUCGCUUGAGUCUAUUUUUGUAUAGUUUUAGUUCAAUUGAACCACUUCAAUCCAAUGUUGGUAUUGCUCGCUCUGCUUUGAGCAUACAAAUACACCAAGUGUUACCAAAUAUCAAUAAUAUUGCCAUUCCACUGCUUUACCAAAUUUUUGAUGUUUUCGCUCUUUAUGAGGUUGGUUUUUGUUCACUAUGGUUACUAGAAUGAUACCAGAAUAAGACAUCUGCAAUUAAAUUGUUGGUGUUUAUAACAUGAACCAAAACUUGCACGGGUAGUUCUUAGCAAACUUUUCAUGACGAGCUUCUGUUUAUUCAAACUACAUAAUAGUACUCUGGUUUGCUUCGAGAAAUCGAUGUUCUCAUUCAUCGUGUGCAUGUAGUUUUGACAACAACUUCACCACAUUGAAUAGGCCUUAGAUCCAUGUAUCCAUGUGACUAAUGUUUUUUCCUCUGUCAUGCAGGGUAAGCUUAUCCCCAGAUGUGGAAGAUCAGUUGGAGAGAACGCGGUUCCAAAGAUAGCAACACUGUAGAUGUCAAAUAUGAUUAUGCUGCAGUUUCAACCACGUCUGAACAACAGUAGAUAUGUGUUUUUCAUAUGUACCCCUGAAGUGUAAAAAUAGCAUCAAUAUGAAUAUCAGGAGCCCCAGCGUGCACGGUUGUGUAUUAUUGCCUGCUAAU
rnacentral:lncRNA from 1 species